AUUGAACGCUGGCGGCAUGCUUUACACAUGCAAGUCGAACGGCAGCGCGGGCUUCGGCCUGGCGGCGAGUGGCGAACGGGUGAGUAAUACAUCGGAACGUGCCCAGUAGUGGGGGAUAGCUCGGCGAAAGCCGGAUUAAUACCGCAUACGACCUGAGGGUGAAAGCGGGGGAUCUUCGGACCUCGCGCUAUUGGAGCGGCCGACGGCAGAUUAGCUAGUUGGUGGGGUAAAGGCCUACCAAGGCGACGAUCUGUAGCUGGUCUGAGAGGACGACCAGCCACACUGGGACUGAGACACGGCCCAGACUCCUACGGGAGGCAGCAGUGGGGAAUUUUGGACAAUGGGCGAAAGCCUGAUCCAGCAAUGCCGCGUGUGUGAUGAAGGCCUUCGGGUUGUAAAGCACUUUUGGCGGGAACGAAAAGGACUGUGCCAAUACCACGGUUCGAUGACGGUACCCGCAGAAUAAGCACCGGCUAACUACGUG
rnacentral:rRNA from 1 species